rnacentral:lncRNA from 1 species
GCGAAACGAUCCCGCGUCGGCGGUCGACCUCGGCGUCGAAACGGCCUCAUGGCUGGCUGAAACCAAAACAAGGUUCAAAUAUAAAACACAAACAACUCUCGACCCAAUCAAGCGAAAUUCUAAAAAGCCGCCUCUAUUCCUCUGCAAAAGUAUAUCGUCUGCAGCCGACAUAAUUUAUCUGGCAGAAACAGAUACUCCUUCAGUCACUCCCUCCACUCUG